GAUGAACGCUGGCGGCGUGCCUAAUACAUGCAAGCCGAGCGAACGGACGAGAAGCUUGCUUCUCUGAUGUUAGCGGCGGACGGGUGAGUAACACGUGGAUAACCUACCUAUAAGACUGGGAUAACUUCGGGAAACCGGAGCUAAUACCGGAUAAUAUUUUGAACCGCAUGGUUCAAAAGUGAAAGACGGUCUUGCUGUCACUUAUAGAUGGAUCCGCGCUGCAUUAGCUAGUUGUUAAGGUAACGGCUUACCAAGGCAACGAUGCAUAGCCGACCUGAGAGGGUGAUCGGCCACACUGGAACUGAGACACGGUCCAGACUCCUACGGGAGGCAGCAGUAGGGAAUCUUCCGCAAUGGGCGAAAGCCUGACGGAGCAACGCCGCGUGAGUGAUGAAGGUCUUCGGAUCGUAAAACUCUGUUAUUAGGGAAGAACAUAUGUGUAAGUAACUGUGCACAUCUUGACGGUACCUAAUCAGAAAGCCACGGCUAACUACGUG
rnacentral:rRNA from 1 species